UUACUCUGAGCGUCUUUGAAGUCGUCCGCGUCCUCUGGCAGACGGUGCAGAUAGUCUUUGAGCAGGAGCUCGUAGCGAGGAAUCCUCUGCACCGGCUCCAACAUGUGGUGCUGUAGGCGUUCCUGUGAUCUCAGGCACCGGGCUUCUCGCACUCUUAAUAUUCUACACACAGUGGCAACCAAAGACGUUUGAAGUACAGCAGGCCUGGCUGGGGUGCUAUUAGUAUUCACUAUAACAUACAACACCCACGAAACGCUUCUCCUGCCCUAGAGACUCACGCUUUCAUCUGACACCAUCAAUCAGCGCUGAGCCGGGGGUGGGAUCUUGUUAUUUUCGACGCUGAUGCUCGACUCUAACUUCAGACUCUUAAGGAAAGGAGCCAGUUUCUGCAGGAUGUCACCGAUGCGAGGGUUCUGAUCCCUGAGGGCAGAGCGCGGGCAGCAGGAACUGUUGGUGAAAGCAGUAGAUGGAGCAGAUGUUGGAGAAGAUGCCCAUGAC